AGGCCUAGCUACAUUCUGUGUUAAGUAUAUGAUUACAAAGAAUAAGCCCGAAGUGUAACUUAGAGUACUAACAGGCUAUUGCUAUUAUAUAAAUCUGAUCAGAAAGUGCAAGUUUACUUCAUGGGCAUGUCAGGCCUACUAAGGGAGUGAACAGGAGUGAAAAGAAAUGUCCUCGAGUUAUCCUCACUGCAAAGUAUGGAAAAGAUGAUCUUUUCAAGAGAAGCAUCCUGACAACUGGGCAUGAGAGGGAUUUGAAGGCUGAAGUCUAUCAACACAACGAGUCAGACGUAAGGUAACUUCCAGAGAGAAGGAUGGCCCUGAAGACUGCAUUUGAGAGACCUGAGGUCUGUACUUUGCCAUGUGUCCUCUGAGCAUCCUUGGCUAAGCCACUGAGGGCCAGAAUUUCUAAAAAGCUCCACUUCCACUCUCCUGAUCUCAGGAAAAGCAAGGCUGCUUAAUGAAAGAUGCUAUUACUAUUCAAGAUACCAACACAAAAGCAAAGAGAAGCUCGAAGUGCAGAAUAAUGCUGGAUCACUGCAAGACUAAAAAAA